UACGUAGGGUGCAAGCGUUGUCCGGAAUUAUUGGGCGUAAAGAGCUCGUAGGCGGUCUGUCGCGUCUGCUGUGAAAACUCGGGGCUUAACCCCGGGCCUGCAGUGGGUACGGGCAGACUAGAGUGCGGUAGGGGAGACUGGAAUUCCUGGUGUAGCGGUGAAAUGCGUAGAUAUCGAGAGGAACACCGACGGCGCAGGCAGCGUCCUGGCCGCUUGCUGACACUGAGGCACGAAAGCUGGGGGAGCAAACAGG
rnacentral:rRNA from 1 species